rnacentral:rRNA from 1 species
UCCGUAGGUGAACCUGCGGAGGGAUCAUUACUG